ACAACUUUUAACAACGGAUCUCUUGGCUCUCGCAUCGAUGAAGAACGCAGCGAAAUGCGAUAAGUAAUGUGAAUUGCAGAAUUCAGUGAAUCAUCGAAUCUUUGAACGCACCUUGCGCUCUCUGGUAUUCCGGGGAGCACACCUGUUCGAGUGU
rnacentral:rRNA from 13 species